CAUCUGCAAUUUUCUGGACGUGACCUUGGAUGGAGGCUCUCGAUGAUGACCUUUCAAACUCAGUCGUCUUCACAUGAUGUCUUUGCCUCUGCCAUAGAGAGACCAUCGUGAAGAGAGACCCCCCCAGUUACAUCCAGGGGAUCCAGUUCUCUUCCACGUUGUGGGUGUUUUUCCAGAGAGCUCCUCUGGGAUCUGCUGGGGAAACGAGGAGGGCAGGGACAGCAAAAAUGGAUCUUCUGUCUGAUGGGUGUGACUGGAGAGCCCGUCCCAUGGUGGAUGUUCCUGCUGGGAGAAGGGGAAGCAUCCAGCCUUCUGGAGGACAGACUGAUGACUCAAGAAGAGCCUGUUGAUGGGAAAAACAGGCAGGAGUGGAGAGGAAUCAAGAAGAUGAAGGCAGGUUUUGUUUUCUAAUGAAUUACGGAGCGUUGUCCUUCAGCACAGUCACUCCCAUCCAAGCACCGUGGUGGCCACAGCCCAAGGAUGGAGCCAGACCCUUCACAAGGACCUUCACUGAGAGGACAAGAGGCAAGAAAUUGAACUAUUGAGAUACAGGGAGUCCAUU